UGUGAAAUGUAAGAUCUCAAAUUUGACAGUUUCCAUCAUUUACAGUAGCCAACAAGUUUUUAGUGAAAAAAUUUGAAAAUCGAACUGGUGGUGGCGUUACACACUGAGCUUUCGUUUGAUGUGGCCGGUCAUGUGGGCGUAGCAUGGGAUUCAACCCACCUACGAUGGCAUUUUAGUAGGUUACCAAUCGGAGAAAGAGAAAGGAAAUGAGGCGAGAGGGAGAAAAGAGGGAUGAAGAGAAGGCGACACAGCAGGCGGUUUUGUCGGUUGCUAUUCUAUUUUCCUCUGCUGCUGCCUCGCUUUCUCUGUCUCUCGUGCAAAACAAAAUAGAAAUCUAGCCGACGGUUCUUUUUUAUCUCCAAGAACGAACAUGAGAGCGAAUAAAGAAAAGAAAGGAAAGAUUGGAGACGUAGUUACUCGAGAGGGAGAUGGCAAUUUGUGAAGGCCGUUUAAUCUAAAGACAAUGCACACAAGGUUCACAGACAGUUCAUUAUACUAUAAAAUGAAAAUGUUUGCUAUGGAGAUUUGAGCUGCAAUGAAGCCGAGUCUUAUUGAAGCUUGUGAUUUUAUUAUGGAGGAGAGAUUGUCACAAGUUACGGGCAGAAUAAGGCAUGCACAUGAGGCAACUAACUGGAUAGGGAAUGUGGCGUUCUCGAAUGUGUGACAGGUGGUGCUACGUGAAUAGAUUAUUGAUUGGUCGGUGUGCAUCCACGUCUCUCUCUCUCUCUCUCUUCCUUUUUUUUUUUUUGAGCAACAAGGAGGGAAGUCCUUAAUUAGGACCUCAUGAGUAUGUGAGAAACAUCCUGAAUAAGUUAGAGACAUGGAUAGCUUGUAAUGUUGGACAUAUUCUAUUAAUAAUGGAGACAAGGGUGGCCAAACUAUUAGAACUCAACCAGCUGAUAUGAAUCUCCUCCAAUCCAUAAUGUCUACAUAUUUAGGGCUUGCGCCCUGUAGGAGAAAAAAAAAAAAUUGAAAAUCUACAUUUUUUGCUGAAAAUUUUAGAUAGAAAAAUAAUUUAUGAAUGUUCUUUCAUGUAUUGUAAAAUAGUUAAAAAUAUUAUUAUUUUU